UACGGAGGGUGCGAGCGUUGUCCGGAAUCACUGGGCGUAAAGGGCGCGUAGGCGUCCUGAUAAGUAGGGGGUGAAAUCCUGCGGCUUAACCGCAGGGCUGCCUUCUAAACUGUCGGGCUAGAGCACGGUAGAGGCAGAUGGAAUUCCCGGUGUAGCGGUGGAAUGCGUAGAGAUCGGGAGGAACACCUGUGGCGAAGGCGGCUCGCUGGGCCGGUCCUGACGCUGAAACGCGAAGGCGUGGGGAGCGAACGGG
rnacentral:rRNA from 1 species